ACACCUCAACUCUCACGGCUUGCCGUGAUGAGCUUGGACUUUGGGGGUCUUGCUGGCCCGUGGUCAGCUCCUCUCAAAUGAAUUAGCUUGCCGGUGUUUGGUGGGAUCACAGGUGUGAUAACUAUCUACGCUUGUGGUUUUCCACCAGGUAACCUUCAGCGAUGGAGGUUCACCGGAGCUUAUAAAUGUCCCUCCCCAGUGAGGACAGAUUUUGACC
rnacentral:misc_RNA from 1 species